rnacentral:rRNA from 1 species
UACGUAGGGGGCAAGCGUUGUCCGGAAUCAUUGGGCGUAAAGCGCGUGUAGGCGGCCACACAGGUCCGCUGUGAAAACUCGAGGCUCAACCUCGAGCUGUCGGUGGAAACCGUGUGGCUAGAGUCCGGAAGAGGAGAGUGGAAUUCCCGGUGUAGCGGUGAAAUGCGCAGAUAUCGGGAAGAACACCCGUGGCGAAGGCGGCUCUCUGGGACGGUACUGACGCUGAGACGCGAAAGCGUGGGGAGCAAACAGG